GAUGAACGCUGGCGGCGUGCCUAAUACAUGCAAGGCGAGCGAACAGACGAGGAGCUUGCUCCUCUGACGUUAGCGGCGGACGGGUGAGUAACACGUGGAUAACCUACCUAUAAGACUGGGAUAACUUCGGGAAACCGUAGCUAAUACCGGAUAAUAUAUUGAACCGCAUGGUUCAAUAGUGAAAGACGAUUUUGCUGUCACUUAUAGAUGGAUCCGCGCCGCAUUAGCUAGUUGGUAAGGUAACGGCUUACCAAGGCAACGAUGCGUAGCCGACCUGAGAGGGUGAUCGGCCACACUGGAACUGAGACACGGUCCAGACUCCUACGGGAGGCAGCAGUAGGGAAUCUUCCGCAAAGGGCGAGAGCCUGACGGAGCAACGCCGCGUGAGUGAUGAAGGUCUUCGGAUCGUAAACCUCUGUUAUUAGGGAAGAACAAAUGUGUAAGUAACUAUGAACGUCUUGACGGUACCUACUCAGAAAGCCACGGCUAACUACGUG
rnacentral:rRNA from 1 species